GGAUGUGAGGGUGAUCUGGCUGUGACAUCUGUCACCCCAUUGAUCGCCAGGGUUGAUUCAGCUGAUCUGGCUGGCUAGGCAGGUGUCCCCUUCCUCCCUCACUGCUCCAUGUGCGUCCCUCCCGAAGCCGUGCGCUCGGUCGAAGAGGACGACCUUCCCCGCUAGAGGAGGACCGGUCUUCGGUCAAGGGUAUACGAGUAGCUGCGCUCCCCCUGCUAGAACCUCCAAACAAGCUCUCAAGGAAUAAGAGACUUAACGUGGAAAUUAGCGCUUACCCUGGUGUGGGACGAGCUGGUGAAGU
rnacentral:snRNA from 1 species